UCUGUUGUCCUUUCCAAGGAAAUAAAUAGGAGGCAUUAUGUUUGGAGCAAUCAAUAUACAUAGAGUGAGUGGUGGGACAGCAGCUCCAGCCUGGGCUGGGCUGGGCAGCUUGGGUGUUUUGCAGCCCUCUACAGCCUUGAAUCUUUGUCUGGAAUGUCACAAAACCACAGGCAGCUUUGUCUGUUGCAGAGAUCAGAGAAACCAUUUCUCUGGGUGUUGGUGGCACUGAGCAGGGCAGAGCCCUGGGGUGGCAGUGCUGCUGCCCAGGGGACACACAGGCUUCCUUGCCCGCAGUUCGGCGUGUGGUUCAGAACUGUGUUGUGGAAGGGUUUAUUCAUUUACUGAGCGGAUGUGCUGAUAAGAGCCCUGUGAUAACUGGCAAUAAAGCUAUAAUGACAAUAUGUUUCAAUAUAUCAGCAAAUACUCCUUUCUAUGAAACCUUUUUCCCUUUUCUCUUCUGUAGAUUAAAAGGAACUGCCUGGAAGGAUGCUUUUCAUUUCAGUUUACGCAAGCACACAGCAUAUGGCAGGUAUCUGUCACACUCAAGGAUGGGUUUGCCAGGACCCAACUUUCCUUGGAGGCACCGCUGGAGCCCUGAGUGUUGAUCAAGACCACUAUGGAGAAAGGAUGGUUAUUUCAACCAACACCAUCAGUGUGCUGACAGAAUGUGAAUGCAACAGUUAUCUUUAAUAUAGGGCAAGGUCUGGUUUGUUAUAACCGAUAUUACAACCGAUAUGCAGCUAGUAUUGUCCUACAAGUUUGACUUGUAUGAAGGGGACAUUCAACAAGAAAGAAAACAACAUUGAGGACUAUUAGCUGCUGCCCAUGCCAUGCAGGUAAUUGCCCAAUUCCCUUUCUGAGAUGGAGAGCUGUGCAGAAGAAACUGGCAGAGAGACACCAGCUGGGAGUGUUUGACUCCUGGGCACAGAAAUACUGCAAACCAUGUUUGGGUACUGCACUAAUAAGUGAAAUUAAAGUCAUGUUCCUCACAUAGCUCCUUCCUGGCUAGCUAUGAAUCAUUAGUUUAAAAACAAUUUCCUCAUUAUCUUUCCACUGCAGGAAAAGACGAUGAGUUUUGUGAAGCUGUGAUUGUAUCCCAGUUGAUUCCCAUGCCCUCUGUUCCUCUCACACAGGGCCAGGUGGUGUUUCAGAAAGGGGGAAAUGCCCAAAUUGAUAUCUUUCAUGUGAUUUUGGCAAACACAGAAAGUGACAUCACUUUACUUCCCCACUGCACAUGGCCUCAGCACCCAAACUGUGGUCCCCAUAGCUGUGACCCCAUAGCUAGGACUGCUCCACUGGCUCUGCCACUUUGUCCAGAAAGGAAAAUCCACGUUGUGCAUGGGAAGGAAACAUGGGAGAACCCCCAGCUCCACUUAGUGGGCAAAGCACAAACAACAUAUUUCAGCUGCAGCAACAGCUGAAGGCUGAAGGGUAUAUUUAUAGUGCUCAGCUGAGCCUCGUGUCAGAAAGGUUUGCUUUCACUUCAAAAGCCUGUCCUCAAGCCUUGGGUCCCCAGUGAUGGCUAUGCAGGGCUUUCCAGAAUGAAAAAAGAGAAUUCAGAAUUUUUCAGCAGCCAUCUUUUCUGCUUGAAAGUAUCUCAAUAGCUCUGUUGAUGAGUUAAGGAUGGUUCACUAAGUAAUUUCCAUUGGUUGCACAGCAUGCAUCUCACCCCAACCACCUGCCUCAUUAUCUGGUGCUCCCUGUCAUCAGGAAGGCCCUGUAGGGGAUAUGGUUUACUUAAAGCCCAGCCUGGCUGUAGCUCUCCCCUAGAAGUCUCUCAUCAGCAGCACUGUGUGACUAUCAGCUCCUGCCCUCUCUAGUCCUGGGGACCAGAUCCAUUUAAGCCCAUAUUAAAAUUUCCCUUUGGCAAAGUGAGCUCCAUUUGCGUGGAGAAGAUCUUGAAUGCCUUUUCGGUACAGACAACUGGUGCUCUGCAUUUCCAUUUUGAGCUCAGAUCGAGGAGGAAGAUGCAUUUGUAACUUUGCAGAGGAAGCUGCCUGGAGACAGAAGCAAAACCCAUCAGGUUCUCCUGUUCUCUUCCUUGGAAUUACCACUUCAAAUUUGGAGCUAUAAACAGAUCAUUGCAAAAAAUGAUACAGCUACAACCCAGGAAAGCGUGUGGUUGGCAUCCAUCUCCAACACUCUAGGUCUGUGCAAAAUCUGCUUUCCUUUGAGGCACCACGAUAGCAGCAUCAUUUUCCCCAGCACCCUGCAGCACCCUCUGAGCGUGUCUGAAAUCAGAUCUGUUUUCUUCUGAAAAUCUGAUGGAGUGCUUGAGAAACACGGCCAUGAAUUGUUUGGGGAAAUGGUGCCAGGCAGCCUGAUUUGUUUUUGACAUGAUUCCAAAACACCGGUUGACUGGAAACUAAGUGCAACCCCAGCAGAAGGAUUAGUCCAACUAUUUUCUUAGGAAAACAUAAUUACUAUGAAUCUUUCCAAGCUUGCACAGAGUCAGCAAUAAGCCCUUUUCCUGAGCUGCCGGCUGUGGCUGCAGAUCUGGCAGUGAUGCUGUGAAAUCGAUCGUUCCCCUUUGGCAGGGCCAGUGAGCGGCAUCUGCAGAGACAAUGUUGUUGCUGAGCCUUUCCUUUUGCUGCCUGCACUGGGAUAUGCAGCAUCUGCCAUGGCUGCUGGUUGCAGAGGUAUAUGAAGGAGGUGGUUUUCAUGUAAAAUAUGCCACUUCUGUGCUACUUUGCUCUCAGCAUGGAUGUGCAUGAUACGCCUUGGGAGGAUGGCAAAACACGUUGUGCUCAGCCCUGGUGCCCUGUGAUGGGAGGGAUGGCUGUGCAGCAAGGACUGCUGUUCUUCUUUCAAAGGAUAUUUUUCACAGGAAAACAUCAGUUAAAUAAAAAAUUGCUGAUUUGAUUGUUUCCUGCUGCUAGCUUUUCCUUUAGGACCUCCCUUUCCUUGUGAUAAGCUUUCCACGCAGGGAUUUACUAACUAUUUUCAAAAGACUGACAUGAAAGUACCAUGCAGACGCUCAUUAUGACAUGAAUUUUAAUCUUGUUCCAGUACUUUCAUUUUGA